rnacentral:lncRNA from 1 species
AUUGGUUCUAUAUUUCGGGGUCAAAUUUGAUAACUUCCAAAUUUAAGUAGUCAGAGACCUUCGAACCCGGUAAAGUCUGGUUAAUCGGGUCGGGCCGAGACCGUGAUUUGCCGCCAUAGAUUCACAGAGCCAAACCACUUCUUUACAACGACUUCAAGCUGUUGAAUAGGUAAUUUCCAUCAAAUCUAUGUAGAAAGUAAAGGUACUUAUGUAAUUUCUCAAUCAGCUGAGAUGGUGCAAACAAUUGAGGGAUAUCGCAUAGCAGCUUGAGGCCGUGUGUUGUACCAUAAGUAAGUGUGCUUGCUGAAUAUCACUGAGUCUUGUUGUGGGAAAUUGGAGAAUCAUGUGACGAUGAAUGAUUUGUCUAGAUUUUUAUGGCUUUUCAUGUUUUGCGAAGAAUUCAGAGAAGUUAUAUAAUUCGUAGUUUUUUGUUUUCCUGUACGAUGUGUUUUCUUUUCUUUCUUUCGUUUUAUCUUUAUCCCUCUAUUCAAGAAAUUCAUUCAUCUAACACCAGUAAUUUAGAGCAACGUGUUAAUUUCAUUACAUGUAUUUCCCUUACUCUGAAUUCCCAUGGUAGACAAUGUUUAGAAUCUCUAAUUAACAUUUAUGCUUGAGAGUAUAAAACCCCAAAUUUUUAGAUGAAGAAAGAGGGAUUUCCGAAAUCCUUUUCUAGCUGAAGUUCAAUAAUUCUGAAGCAUCCCCUGCCACAGUUACUAUGGUGUGAAGGUGGUAUUCAGCCAAAUAUCCUUUUUCUUAUGAAGAUAACUUAUGUUGUCAAGGUAUUUAUGAUGGGAUAGAAAUUGUAGAACCAGCAAUAUCUAACUGGUUCAUCUUAUUAUCUUGAAAGGCUGCUUUGAUCACCUUUCUUUCUAUGCCUUGUCAUCGCAUAAGUAACGAUUGUUCAAUUUCUUGGAGUCGUGUACGAGUCGGUAGUUCGCACCAUCCUAUUAUGUCAACAGAUAUAUUUGUAAUCUAAUCUCAAUUUCUUCUGUCGAUUGUAGAAUUUGCUUCUCUGUUUUUUACUUGAUCUUUCUAGUGACUUCAUUCAUUCUUCUUGUAGAUAUUUCUUUUAUAGGCUAGUGCCUUUCCUGUAAUAUUUCAGCCAUGUUUAAGCAAGUAGGUAAUUGUAUUGCAGUUAAUUAUGCCAGCAUAAGAUAUCUUCAAUACUAAAUUGAAAAAUGCCACUUAUCCAGAUUUAAAAACAGGGAGGGAACUGAUGUGUCAGAAAAUGAUUGGGGUUUUUGUUUUAAUAGUUUAAACUGUUCAAUUAUGCAUUGACACGUGUCCAAUCUAAAUUGAGCCUGGAUGUUUAGUAUGAUUGUACUAAAUUACAGCUGAUUGCAGUUCAAUGUGCAAACCAAGUUUCAUUGCUGACUAAUUGUUGACGAAAAAAUGAAUGUGGAGUGUGGAAUCACUUUCAACCAUUGACCAAAAUGAUUCUUCAUGCAAUUGUGUUGUACACCCAUACACCACUCUCACAUUGUGGGUGGUCAACAAAUAUAAUAUUCAUGUGGGCCCUUCACAUUGUGAGAGGGCUGUAUACCAUGGUAUACCAGAAACUUUAUUGUCCAGGCCUAGCUUUUCACUUUAUAUUCCUAUUUUGAUAAAGGGCUGUAUACCAUGGUGUACAAGAAGCUUUAUUGCUCUUCAUAGGGCCUGGCUUUCCAUUAUUUUAUAUUCCUAUUUUGAUAAAGAAAUAAAUAGUACAACAAUUAUAUGAUUUGUCAGUGCACACUAAGCCCCAAGCUUAUGUAUGCAUAUUGCGUGUUUAGCUCUUGUAUUGAGAAUCUAAUUCUGAUCCACUGAGGAUCUCUUUGAAUCUGCGCAGCUGCAAUGUAAUGAGGUGCUGAGGAAGGGCAGAUGGUAAAAAUUCCUUUCUUCUUUUAUUAUUAAAAUAAAACACUGUGAAGAUAACUUAUUUGGUUGCAACAACGUUCAAUCUCUUUAUAUGUAUAAAAAGAUUUUCAACGCUAUCAUGGUUGCUUCAACUUGUUCCAUCUCUGCAUCGUAGGAUCUUGAGGCAGCCUCUGUUGUAAGGUCUUGGUGUUUGAGGCAGAAGAAUCUUAGGUUUUAUUUCAUCUCCACGGCGUAAGACAUCAUAGCUGAUGAAUUUUUUAUCUGCUGCUUGAACUAGAAUGGAGCACAUCAGUAGCACUCCUAUGAAGAUCCUUGCAAUUUUGGGCAUAGCCAUUGGAAAUUUCAGUUACAGUGUUUUGCUUUGAUUUUAUUGAACACGCUCUUGCAAUCAGCUCCAGAUAUAUAACGAUGCAGCUACGCGGUUGAGAAAGUAAUGUAUUUAAUGGUAUGAUAUUACAGGCCAUAUGUGGUAUAAAUAUUUAAUUCUAAAGCCUGUUUGGUUUGAAUUAAAAUUUGAACAAUCAUAUUAAUCACAUUUUUUUUGAGCCCCGCAACUUUUUCAAUC